UACUCCUACGGGAGGCAGCAGUAGGGAAUCUUCCGCAAUGGACGAAAGUCUGACGGAGCAACGCCGCGUGAGUGAUGAAGGUUUUCGGAUCGUAAAGCUCUGUUGUUAGGGAAGAACAAGUGCAAGAGUAACUGCUUGCACCUUGACGGUACCUAACCAGAAAGCCACGGCUAACUACGUGCCAGCAGCCGCGGUAAUACGUAGGUGGCAAGCGUUGUCCGGAAUUAUUGGGCGUAAAGGGCUCGCAGGCGGUUUCUUAAGUCUGAUGUGAAAGCCCCCGGCUCAACCGGGGAGGGUCAUUGGAAACUGGGAAACUUGAGUGCAGAAGAGGAGAGUGGAAUUCCACGUGUAGCGGUGAAAUGCGUAGAGAUGUGGAGGAACACCAGUGGCGAAGGCGACUCUCUGGUCUGUAACUGACGCUGAGAGCGAAAGGCUGAAACCUUAA
rnacentral:rRNA from 1 species